GAUGAACGCUGGCGGCGUGCUUAACACAUGCAAGUCGAACGGAAAGGCCAGUGCUUGCACUGGUACUCGAGUGGCGAACGGGUGAGUAACACGUGGGUGAUCUGCCCUGCACUUCGGGAUAAGCCUGGGAAACUGGGUCUAAUACCGGAUAGGACAAUGGUUUGGAUGCCGUUGUGGAAAGUUUUUUCGGUGUUGGAUGAGCUCGCGGCCUAUCAGCUUGUUGGUGGGGUAAUGGCCUACCAAGGCGUCGACGGGUAGCCGGCCUGAGAGGGUGUACGGCCCCUUUGGGACUGAGAUCCGGACCAGACUCCUACGGGAGGCAGCAGUGGGGAAUAUUGCACAAUGGGCGCAAGCCUGAUGCAGCGACGCCGCGUGGGGGAUGACGGCCUUCGGGUUGUAAACUCCUUUCGCUAGGGACGAAGCGUAUUUGUGACGGUACCUGGAGAAGAAGCACCGGCUAACUACGUG
rnacentral:rRNA from 1 species